AUUGAACACUGGCGGCAGGCCUAACACAUGCAAGUCGAGCGAGCGGCGGACGGGUGAGUAAUGUAUGGGGACUGCCCGAUAGAGGGGGAUAACUACUGGAAACGGUGGCUAAUACCGCAUACUAUCGGAUAACCCAUAUGGGAUUAGCUAGUAGGUGGGGUAAAGGCUCACCUAGGCGACGAUCUCUCGCGGGUCUGAGAGGAUGAUCAGCCACACGUGGACUGAGACACGGCCCAGACGCCGACGGAGGCAGAAGUGGGGAAUAGUGCACAAUGGGCGCAAGCCUGAUGCAGCCAUGCCGCGUGUAUGAAGAAGGCCUUAGGGUUGUAAAGUACUUUCAGCGGGGAGGCGUUACCCGCAGAAGAAGUACCGGCUAACUCCGUGCCAGCAGCCGCGGGAAUAC
rnacentral:rRNA from 1 species